AGUCUUAACUGGGCGUUAAGUUGCAGGGUAUAGACCCGAAACCCGGUGAUCUAGCCAUGGGCAGGUUGAAGGUUGGGUAACACUAACUGGAGGACCGAACCGACUAAUGUUGAAAAAUUAGCGGAUGACUUGUGGCUGGGGGUGAAAGGCCAAUCAAACCGGGAGAUAGCUGGUUCUCCCCGAAAGCUAUUUAGGUAGCGCCUCGUGAAUUCAUCUCCGGGGGUAGAGCACUGUUUCGGCAAGGGGGUCAUCCCGACUUACCAACCCGAUGCAAACUGCGAAUACCGGAGAAUGUUAUCACGGGAGACACACGGCGGGUGCUAACGUCCGUCGUGAAGAGGGAAACAACCCAGACCGCCAGCUAAGGUCCCAAAGUCAUGGUUAAGUGGGAAACGAUGUGGGAAGGCCCAGACAGCCAGGAUGUUGGCUUAGAAGCAGCCAUCAUUUAAAGAAAGCGUAAUAGCUCACUGGUCGAGUCGGCCUGCGCGGAAGAUGUAACGGGGCUAAACCAUGCACCGAAGCUGCGGCAGCGACACUAUGUGUUGUUGGGUAGGGGAGCGUUCUGUAAGCCUGUGAAGGUGUACUGUGAGGUAUGCUGGAGGUAUCAGAAGUGCGAAUGCUGACAUAAGUAACGAUAAAGCGGGUGAAAAGCCCGCUCGCCGGAAGACCAAGGGUUCCUGUCCAACGUUAAUCGGGGCAGGGUGAGUCGACCCCUAAGGCGAGGCCGAAAGGCGUAGUCGAUGGGAAACAGGUUAAUAUUCCUGUACUUGGUGUUACUGCGAAGGGGGGACGGAGAAGGCUAUGUUGGCCGGGCGACGGUUGUCCCGGUUUAAGCGUGUAGGCUGGUUUUCCAGGCAAAUCCGGAAAAUCAAGGCUGAGGCGUGAUGACGAGGCACUACGGUGCUGAAGCAACAAAUGCCCUGCUUCCAGGAAAAGCCUCUAAGCAUCAGGUAACAUCAAAUCGUACCCCAAACCGACACAGGUGGUCAGGUAGAGAAUACCAAGGCGCUUGAGAGAACUCGGGUGAAGGAACUAGGCAAAAUGGUGCCGUAACUUCGGGAGAAGGCACGCUGAUAUGUAGGUGAAGCGACUUGCUCGUGGAGCUGAAAUCAGUCGAAGAUACCAGCUGGCUGCAACUGUUUAUUAAAAACACAGCACUGUGCAAACACGAAAGUGGACGUAUACGGUGUGACGCCUGCCCGGUGCCGGAAGGUUAAUUGAUGGGGUUAGCGGUAACGCGAAGCUCUUGAUCGAAGCCCCGGUAAACGGCGGCCGUAACUAUAACGGUCCUAAGGUAGCGAAAUUCCUUGUCGGGUAAGUUCCGACCUGCACGAAUGGCGUAAUGAUGGCCAGGCUGUCUCCACCCGAGACUCAGUGAAAUUGAACUCGCUGUGAAGAUGCAGUGUACCCGCGGCAAGACGGAAAGACCCCGUGAACCUUUACUAUAGCUUGACACUGAACAUUGAGCCUUGAUGUGUAGGAUAGGUGGGAGGCUUUGAAGUGUGGACGCCAGUCUGCAUGGAGCCGACCUUGAAAUACCACCCUUUAAUGUUUGAUGUUCUAACGUUGGCCCGUUAUCCGGGUUGCGGACAGUGUCUGGUGGGUAGUUUGACUGGGGCGGUCUCCUCCUAAAGAGUAACGGAGGAGCACGAAGGUUGGCUAAUCCUGGUCGGACAUCAGGAGGUUAGUGCAAUGGCAUAAGCCAGCUUGACUGCGAGCGUGACGGCGCGAGCAGGUGCGAAAGCAGGUCAUAGUGAUCCGGUGGUUCUGAAUGGAAGGGCCAUCGCUCAACGGAUAAAAGGUACUCCGGGGAUAACAGGCUGAUACCGCCCAAGAGUUCAUAUCGACGGCGGUGUUUGGCACCUCGAUGUCGGCUCAUCACAUCCUGGGGCUGAAGUAGGUCCCAAGGGUAUGGCUGUUCGCCAUUUAAAGUGGUACGCGAGCUGGGUUUAGAACGUCGUGAGACAGUUCGGUCCCUAUCUGCCGUGGGCGCUGGAGAACUGAGGGGGGCUGCUCCUAGUACGAGAGGACCGGAGUGGACGCAUCACUGGUGUUCGGGUUGUCAUGCCAAUGGCACUGCCCGGUAGCUAAAUGCGGAAGAGAUAAGUGCUGAAAGCAUCUAAGCACGAAACUUGCCCCGAGAUGAGUUCUCCCUGACUCCCUGAGAGUCCUGAAGGAACGUUGAAGACGACGACGUUGAUAGGCCGGGUGUGUAAGCGCAGCGAUGCGUUGAGCUAACCGGUACUAAUGAACCGUGAGGCUUAACCUU
rnacentral:rRNA from 1 species